GUGGAAUGGAAAGAAGAAAAGAGACAGCAGAGCCGAAGAUUUUCACAUGCUGUGCUAGGAGUGCUGUAUUCCGGUCAUGUACCUCUAGCAGCCUUGACUUCCACCCAUUCUCUUACACAUCCCACCAGCAGGACCAGGAGGGAACAAGGAUACACAGGGAUGAGACAGUUCCUGGAUUAAGCCAAAGUCAGGGAGACUGCUUGCCAAUUGCUCUUACAGACAAAAAAAGGCCUGAAGAAAAUUCAUUUGCUGCUAGUUAAGAAUGUUAAUUUCUAAUCUGGAUAGUGAGAAACAAGAAGAUAAAUAUCAGUAAGAAUGUGUCUUCCUUGCCUUAGCUAGGCUCCACUUCACUGGAAACCAAGCAAUGUAUGCCCCAACCAGCAGAGUGGGAACGGAGAGCAGUACUGUCAGUCAGAGUUUCUCCUCGUGGUUCCCUCUCACACAGUCUCUCCAAUCCGGCAUGGCUUCUCCAAGGGCCACUGUCCCCCAGGAAGAUGUACUCUACCGUGGGUUCUACACAGGCCACAGUUCCUCUGGAUAUGACCAUCUGCUUUGUCAUGGAAGAUCUGUGGGCUGCAGCUUUCUCUGUCCUCUCAUUCACUCCUUCCUCACUCUGUCUGUUCCCACCUCCUCUUUUGGCACUAUCCACGUGCUCCCAGAGGCCCCACCAAGCCUGGCAGCUGGCUCUGUGCUGGGGUCACAGCGUGGGCAGGCCCGGACACCCAGAUAUCGCUGCAGAACCCAUUGCAGACAUGAAGAGAGGAGCUCUGCUCAGACCUGGGAAUAGAACAAAUGCCGGAAAGACGGUGAAAUAGGUCAACGGGCUGCAGAUUGAACUCGAAAUUAAACAUGGAGUGAGCCACAGCACGGAGGGAAUUGAACUAGUUACUG
rnacentral:lncRNA from 1 species